UAGGACUUCUGUUCUACUUUUGUUUGGAAUUCACACUUGACUCUGGAUUUUUAUUUCUUGUCCAAAGCAUUCAGGUAAAAUACUGAUUGCCACUUUUUUCUCCUAACUGAUUACUAGUAGGCUGGCAAGACCUGUAUAUUAUCUUCUGAUGCCUGCCAUACUCAUAAUAUGGUUUUGUUUCUAAAUUGGUUUCAAGGUGAUAUCCUGAUAAUAGACUUUUUAUGGAAUACCAGAUUCACAGGUAUAGUUUAGCUGCUGUGCAUUAAUUUGGCAAUUCACAGAGUCACAAACGGGACUUACCUGCUUUCUAUUCAAUUGCUUCCACUGUGCUUCUGUGUUAGAUUGGAGUCCUCCAGUAAGAAAGCAGAAGCAGCAGCCUCUAAGGAGUAAGGAAUCCCUGCCCAUCACAGGCUAGGCCUGCUUCAUGUUCUGGGAAGUUUUUUUUUUCUCUCAGGGAUUGCUUGUGGGUAUAGAAGCUUGCGGGCUUAAUGCCCAGCAUUUUCAGAUGAAUGAACUAUAGGUGUGGCUUUUUAGAUAAGAUGUGAGGUAUAACAUUUGCUUCUGCCUGGAAGAUGCUGUUCUGCCUUCUUCCUUCCUUUUACCCUCACCAUCAGCAUUGUCAGCCCCUAUCCUAGCUGGGUAUUUCUUGCUUUGGCUUCAAGGUAACACUCUUGUGUAACAAUCCAGUAUGCCAAUGGGGUUGUGUUAAAUUUUCUUUCGCUGUUUAGUCAUUAAGUGUCCUGGUAGAAACCGAUCAGGAUCUGAAAGACUCUCAAAGAGUUAAGUGGUUUCUCAUCUCCUUAUUAGUGAUUUCUUUCUUUUGUUUGAGGUUGCUGCCUUCGCUUUGAGCUCAGUGGAGGGAAGGAUCCGGGAGCUGCUGUCUGUCACAAGUGCCUGUCUCAAUGUCUCGAGGCCAGAAGUGUGCCAAAAAAUUUCAGAAAUGUGGAAAAACAUCAUUCUCUGGACAGAAUAUUGAACAGGAUGAACAAGUGACGGUAACAAAUACGUCGAUAAGCUSAUCAUGUUGCACAUUAGAUGAUGAAGAUAUUUCUGUCCCUUGACAUCUCAUGUUCUCACAACAAAUGAUUAUACAUCAAAGAAAUGAGCUCUGAGUCAAAAUGACAGUAAAGAUGAUGAGCUAGAAAAUAAUGGAAGAGCUGGUACCUAUGAAAUUACUGCAAAUGACUGAAGGAAUGGGGUAAAGGAAAUUGCUCAGAAAGUUGUUCAGAUGACUUAAACUGCUGUCUGAAAAAUAAAUAAUCUAGGGUAUGACUUCUAGAAAUGAAA
rnacentral:lncRNA from 1 species